rnacentral:rRNA from 1 species
GAUGAACGCUAGCGGCAGGCCUAAUACAUGCAAGUCGAGGGGCGGCGGGGUAGCAAUACUGCCGGCGACCGGCGCACGGGUGCGUAACACGUAUGCAACCUACCUUAAACUGGGAGAUAGCCCGGGGAAACUCGGAUUAAUACCCCAUAAUACAACUGUUAUCACAUGAUGAUGUUGUUAAAGAUUUAUCGGUUUAAGAUGGGCAUGCGUUCGAUUAGCUAGUUGGUGAGGUAAUGGCUCACCAAGGCGACGAUCGAUAGGGGGUCUGAGAGGAUGAUCCCCCACACUGGUACUGAGAUACGGACCAGACUCCUACGGGAGGCAGCAGUAGGGAAUAUUGGUCAAUGGAGGCAACUCUGAACCAGCCAUGCCGCGUGUAGGAAGAAGGCGUUCUGCGUUGUAAACUACUUUUGAUUGGGAACAAAUGACUCUUGCGAGAGUAGCUGAGUGUACCAAUAGAAUAAGCCACGGCUAACUACGUGCCAGCAGCCGCAGUAA